CCAGAUCAUAUUGAUCUAGAAGACGCGAGAGAAGCUCGAAGCUUCUGACCCUAAAACGCGUCGCCGACCCGACGAAGAAACCUGACCAGAACGCCGUCCUCCGGCCACAACACAGCGGCGGACCACCGGCAAUAGAUUCAUCUUGUCGUCGUCGUCACACCUGUGGCCUCUAAUCGUCCAUGCAAUUGACGAGGCAGAAGAAUCGACAGUGAGAAGAUCCGAGCUUUCUCCGGCGAGUUCUGCAAUUUCCGGCGACUCCGGCCACCUUCUGGGCUGCGUUUGGUAUGAAGUCUCAUCUCCUCGUCAUACUCUACAAGCCUGUACAAUUAGAUUUUGAAUUUGAUCGAGUUUUUGACAAUUUCGUUUCUGGGUUCCUCUCUGCUUCGAUGCCGUCACCGACGCCGGCGACUUCCCCGGCCUUUCUGGCUUCGUCUCCUCUUCGAUUUCAGGUCUAGAUGAGAUGGUGUGAAGUUUUCUGGGUUGUAGUUCGAGGAAAUCACUAGUUCACAACCAUUCUAGCUUCGGUAUUGAGCUCGGGAAGCUGAGUUUGGGUCGAUUCAAGGGAUUGCCGAUGUCGAAGGACUCCAGCUAUCCGAGGAACGGAAGGUUCGUGAUCUCUAAACAACGUGUAAUGGUAAAGCUUCGGAAUCCAGGUAGGGGACUCGGGACUCUCUAUUGGCUAGUGGUUUUCCAUAUUUGUUUAUAUACGUGGUGCAUGAUGAAAGUACAUUGUUAGUUCAAAUUUAAAAUGUUUUUAAGUUAACGUGCGUAUAAGAUUGUUGAUGGCGGUGUGUGAGAGCGGAAAGGUGGUCGAUGACUUCCUUGGGGAUUAGCCACCCCUAAACCUCCGGAGGGUUAGCUACACCGGUCGGACGGUGCGCAAUCGCAAUGAUGACACGGUUCCGUGUGUGUAGCUAGUGUGUUAAGUUUGGCGCUCUGUGACUGGUAAGGUCAGAUGUUGGUUCUACGGAACCAGGCCAUCAGGUAAAGCGCACGUAGUUUUCUAAUCAUGCAUCGAGUAUUUAAGUUUGUCGUUCUUAUAUAUAUAUUUGCUUUGUUUUCACACUGGGCCCAAAUCCAAAUGAUUACAAAGUUGAGUUGAUUUUCAAACCUAGUCGUGGUAGAGUUUCCUGCCGAGCAGCGAGGACGAAAGCUCACCCCUACAACAGUUUGGAUGCAGAUACUGUGCACUGGUGACGGGACAAAAGCGGACGGAGCUGGGUGUGCGGAAUAAGUCCGACCUGCUUGUUGCUCCCUUAGCCCAAAAUGAGGGUUGCUGUUCCAGACUUCUGCUGGCAGUAACAGUGGUAAUGGCAGCCUCCUCUCCUCCUCCUCGUCCAUCCCUACCCAAAACCAAGCCGACUCCGACUUUUACAACUCUUCUCUCAAACAAGACUCGAACAAAAAAUGCAAUUGCAUUUUGAUGCAUUGUAUUUGAGUAAUCUAUUCAUGUUAGGCAAUCUCUAACCCAAAUGGCUAAAAAUAGCCAUAAAUUCUGUACUAUUCAUUGAUCUGAUAUCAACUGUCUCCAACCCGUCAAGGCUAAAUUAUGGCCCUAAAAUAUAUUUUAACAUUUUGGAUUGGUUAUAUAUACAGAUCCUAUCCAGAGCGGAGAUCC